UUAUGUUGUAUUAAGGCAUAGUGUGCAAAGUACUGGUUACGAGCAGCUAAACCUAUAAAAGUUUGGAAGAAACUUUAAUUUUUUCUUUCUACAUCAAAUACGGAUAAAUAGAUUAAAAAGAAUGCAAAUCAUUUUUGUCGCAGUUAUAUUUGCAUCAAUAAUACUUUCAGAAAGUAAUAUAUCAGAAAUUAAUCCUCGAACUGGUACUGUUGUUACCUACGGUUGCUUUAAAUCAAAUUGCUGGGUAUAUUGUAAUUGGCAAACCAAACAGUGGUGUUGGUCGAACAAGGAAUCAAAUCAAGGGAAAAAAGUAUGCUCAUCUGAUCAAGACUGCCGUGAUUAUUACCACAAGUGUGUAACUCCGUGUGGUUUCUAAUUCUUUUAACAAACAUUUUAAAAUUAUUUUUUGUAUUUUUUUUAAAUUUAUGAGCAUUUUAUAACGCA